GACAGAGGGGGCAAGCGUUGCUCGGAAUUACUGGGCGUAAAGGGCGCGUAGGCGGGAUGGCAAGUCGGUCGUGAAAUCCCUCGGCUCAACUGAGGAUCGUCGAUCGAUACUGCCGUUCUUGAGGAUUGCAGAGGAGACUGGAAUUCCCGGUGUAGCGGUGAAAUGUGUAGAGAUCGGGAGGAACACCGGUGGCGAAGGCGGGUCUCUGGGAAUGACCUGACGCUGAGGAGCGAAAGUGUGGGGAGCGAACAGG
rnacentral:rRNA from 1 species